rnacentral:lncRNA from 1 species
AGGAAAAGUACCUUACAGUUCUUUCUUCAUCUCCCCAAACUGAGAGAAAAGGAGAGAGGGAGACAUCCAGAGAGGCUGAGGUUGCCAGCAAAAAGAAGAGGGGAUAUUUUACCCCCCUGUGGAUGCUUAUUCAACCACAGAGAAACUCAGGCUCUUCCGAGUGUGGCUGCCAGAGGGGAGAGAAUUCUUGGGAAAUACACAAAGACCUUGAGGCUGUAUACAUUUCCUGAGCAGAGAAUCCUGAAGAUGAGAAGCUGGGCAGAGCUCCACAUUCAGGCAGCAAGACUGGGAGCAAGGAGAAGGCUGAGCUGCAAAUUGGCUGGAUCAUCAGAUUCAGUGCCUCUGAGAAGCCCGUCACACAGAUCUUGUCUUAACAGUGGACGCAGAGUUGUUCAAAGUUUUCAGUCAAGCAGACGUAUACAAAACUCGCCAUUUGAGAAGAUAACAUGAGCCCAACCUACCCUUCUCCUACAGCCCCGUCAUUGCUUUCUCAGUUUCACAGGCUGAGAGAACACCAGCAUCUCUCCACGUUAAACUUAGACUCCAAUUCUGAUCUCUGAACACAGAAUCCUCUGAAAUCCAAUCUGAAAAACACAGAACAUUUUAAAAGGUAUUCUUACCUCUAAUUUUGUCUGUAAAAUUAGAAUAUUUUGUUCUAAUGUACAUUUUUGGUUGUAGGUCAAAACCACUUUUUAAUGUCUCCUAUAAGAUCUAGGUCCUUAUCUAAUGCUUCUUCCAUGAAACUAGACAAUCUAGAUGUAAUUUUGACUUGUGAUUCGGUUAAUGCACCUAUGGUGAACCAUGUUUCGUCGCCCAUUAUAAUUUCAUAUUUGUACUUAUAUAAAUGCCCAUAACUAAGCAUUUUUUCAUUUUAAAAAUAUGUAAAGCUAUUUUAACGAGCACAUGCUCUCUACACCUCUUCCUCUAACCUUUCUGACAAUGUUAAAAUUUCCUAACUUGGUAGAUUUACGAAUUAAAAAAAUAAUCAGUGGGAAAGCAUGUCCUCCAUUAACCUAGGACAAAAUGUUUCAUCCAUUAAAAACAAGAACCAAAAAACCUGACCAUACUAUUCCAUGGAAAUAUUUCUGAAGGGUCAAAUACAGCCAUAUAGAGUGGAUAGAGAAAAUGGGGAUGUGAUUUUAAAAAUACAUGAAAAUAUACACUCAUGUGCAAACAAGCA